rnacentral:rRNA from 1 species
GUGGGGAAUAUUGGGCAAUGGGGGAAACCCUGACCCAGCGACGCCGCGUGAGGGAAGAAGGCCUUAGGGUCGUAAACCUCUGUUGUGUGGGAAGAAGAGCGUGACGGUACCACACGAGGAAGUCCCGGCUAACUACGUGCCAGCAGCCGCGGUAAUACGUAGGGGACGAGCGUUGUCCGGAUUUACUGGGCGUAAAGGGCGCGUAGGCGGUCAUUUAAGUCAGCUGUGAAAUGGUGUGGCUUAACCGGAUCAUGCGGUUGAAACUGGAUGACUGGAGUGCUGGAGAGGCAAGUGGAAUUCCCAGUGUAGCGUUGAAAUGCGUAGAUAUUGGGAAGAACACCGGUGGCGAAGGCGACUUGCUGGCCAGCAACUGACGCUGAGGCGCGAAAGCCAGGGGAGCAAACGGGAUUAGAAACCCCAGUAGUCC